rnacentral:rRNA from 1 species
GAUGAACGCUGGCGGCGUGCUUAACACAUGCAAGUCGAACGGGAAACCUUUUAAUGAAGCUUCGGCAGAUUUAGCUGGUUUCUAGUGGCGGACGGGUGAGUAACGCGUGGGUAUCCUGCCUUAUACAGGGGGAUAACAGUCAGAAAUGACUGCUAAUACCGCAUAAGCGCACAGGACCGCAUGGUCCGGUGUGAAAAACUCCGGUGGUAUAAGAUGGACCCGCGUUGGAUUAGCUUGUUGGUGGGGUAACGGCUCACCAAGGCGACGAUCCAUAGCCGGCCUGAGAGGGUGAACGGCCACAUUGGGACUGAGACACGGCCCAGACUCCUACGGGAAGCAGCAGUGGGGAAUAUUGCACAAUGGGGGAAACCCUGAUGCAGCGACGCCGCGUGAAGGAAGAAGUAUCUCGGUAUGUAAACUUCUAUCAGCAGGGAAGAUAGUGACGGUACCUGACGAAGAAGCCCCGGCUAACUACGUG